UACGGAGGAUGCGAGUGUUAUCCGGAUUCAUUGGGUUUAAAGGGUGCGUAGGCGGAAUAUUAAGUCAGCGAUGAAAUCCUGCAGCUUAACUGUAGGACUGUCAUUGAUACUGGUAUUCUUGAAUUCAGUUGAGGUAGGCGGAAUGUGUAAUGUAGCGGUGAAAUGCUUAGAUAUUACACAGAACACCGAUUGCGGAGGCAGCUUACUAAACUGUUAUUGACGCUGAGGCACGAAAGCGUGGGGAGCAAACAGG
rnacentral:rRNA from 1 species